CCUAUCUUCGGAUAGUGAACCUGGCUCGCAAGGGCUGGGAGCUCGCUUCCGAUCAUUUACUUUGAAAAAAAUUAGAGUGUUCAAAAGCAGCCUGUAUGGGCAUUGAAUAGAUUAGCAUGGGAUAAUAGAAUAGGAUUCUUAUCUAUUUAUUGGUUUAUAGAUUUAGAAUAAUGAUUAAUAGGGAUAGUUGGGGGCACUUGUAUUCAAUAGUCAGAGGUGAAAUUCUAGGAUUUAUUGAAGACAAACUUCAGCGAAAGCAUUUGCCAAGGAUGUUUUCAUUAAUCAAGAACGAAAGUUAGGGGGAUCGAAGACGAUUAGACACCGUCGUAGUCUUAACUAUAAACUAUGCCGACCAGGGAUAUGAGAGUUUUAUAUUUUAUGUUAUGAAUAGUAACAUAAUCUCUUGUGGACCUUGUGAGAAAUCAUAAGUUUUUUGGGGUUCUGGG
rnacentral:rRNA from 1 species